rnacentral:sRNA from 1 species
UCUUGUUGCGGUCAAACGGCCAAGGUUAUUGAAACAAAGAAGUCGUGGCAUUACAAAUAGAUAUAUUACUGUGAAAGUGCGGUGGAUAAUAAAAAGGCCAUUCUUGGGC